AAGACCUGCAAAAUUUUCAAGUUUUUCAGGUGGUGUUUUGGAAUCUAGAUUGAUUUAGUAUUGUAUGUUGUGUGAUGUGCCCUUGCCAAGAAUAUUUGAUGUGUGUGAUGACACGAGCAAUUGUAGAGGAGUGAACACCAUGCUCGAUUAGUGGACUGCCGCUUGAGAAGAAGCUUGUCAUUUGUCUCUUCGAGCCGCGGCGGAUAGGGGCCUUCGAAGAACUUGGGGUUUGACAUAGCCAUCGAGGAAGUGCAGGAUACAAACCAAGUGUAAUCAAAGAGGAUAUGGAUUCAGUACAGACAUGAGUGAAGGAAUGUUACUCCAAUUUGGUACUUUAUUUUAUUGUUUUCAUUUAGUCUGCAUUAGCUUAACAAAUAACAUUUGUGGGACAACUAAUAUUUGAACAUGGAUUUUUUCAGGAUCUUGGAGAAUGUUUUCUCAGUGUGGUUCAGGUUAAAUUGUUGUCCUACUGUUCCUGCUCAACCUCCUAAUGUUCUAUGUCUUCGCUGUGCCUUCUUCCAACUUCUCUAUUGGUUUUCUCUUCACACCGAUGUAAGUGCAUGACCUUUUCACACCGAUGUAAGUGCAUGUUUCAUGCGUAUAACUAGAGCCAUAUUAAAAAUGCAAGUGGUGCGAAAAGGUCACAUCCAUGUAUAAAUUAAUAGCUAGGUUGUGUUUAAGAA